rnacentral:rRNA from 1 species
AUGUUCGCCCCCCACGAGGUUCGUCUGCUCCCCGCGAAAGUCUUAUCAGUUACGCCCGCCCUCGACCCAAUCCACAGGAAAGGGGGACAACACAAAGCCGACCACGCGCCACGAGCGCACGAGCACGAUUCAUCCGGUGCGUCGCGCGGCGGCUUCCAUCUCCGCGGCCGUGCUGACUUCGCCUCCAUGGCGUCCGUCUACACCGCGCCCCGCGCGCCGCUGCCCGCCACGGCCGCCUCCUUCCCCUCCUCGUCCUCGUCCUCGCGGCAGCUGGACCCCAACCCUAGCCGAUUCCUCGCCGCGCACCGCGGCCAGCGCCUCCUCCGCGUCCGCCGCCUGGCGGGCGCCGCGCCGACUCGCCGCGCCUCCGACGUCGCCUCGGUGUUCCGGUGCGGCGCGCGCAGCCCCGGUGCGGACCCCGGCGGCGAGCCACGCCGAGGCUGGGACGCUCUCUUCCACGAUGCCCUCCAGGGCGCCGUGCGGCGGUGGAGCGAGUACGUCAGGAAUUACUGGCCCUCCGCACACCCCUCGAAGGAGGCGGGCCUCGCGAAGGGAGCGGAGAGUUCUCACGAACUGGAGGAGAGAGGGCAGGGAGUGGAGGAAGACGGUGAGGAGGUGGACGUGGUGCAGGAAGCAGGGAAGUGGAGCUGGGAGAGGUGGAAGCAGCACUUCGCCCUCAUUCAGGAGAGCGAGCGCCUUGUUGAUGAACUGCAGCUACAACUCCGCACUGCUGUGUGUAGAGAAGACUAUAGGAGUGCCCACAAACUGAAGUUAGCUAUUGCUGCUACAUCAAGAAAUGAUACUGUCGGCAGAGCAAUAUCUGAGUUACAUAGGGCCAUAGAAGAGGACCGCUAUGUGGAUGCAGCUUAUAUUAGAGACCACGCUGGUGCAGGACUGUUGGGAUGGUGGUCUGGGAUUUCUGGAAGUUUGUCUGAUCCAUAUGGUCUUAUAAUCCGUAUAAGCGCUGAACAUGGUCGAUACGUGGCAAAAAGUUACGAUAUCAGGCAGCUGGCUUCAGAUGGCCAUGGUUACCCUAUAUUCGAAAUUUAUUUUGCAGAGGCAAAUGGAGGAUACAACCUGCAGGCAGUGCAUCUGAAACCAGAUGUCAGUGAUUCGGACCAGUUGCAAAACAUGUUGAGUGGAAAACUAGAUGUCAACAAUAUAAACAUAUCUAGCAGUUCCUUAGGUGCUAAACACGAGGAACACGAUGAAGGCAUAAGCAUGGACGAUCAAAAUAGCGAUGAUAGUGAUGUUGCUGCUGGUCCAGCUGGUUUGAAAAACUUGUCAAAUGAUUCAACUCCAAUUCCCAGGAUCAAAAUAUUGAAGGUAGCGCCUAUGGAAAACAUCAACCAGGACUAUAUAAUUAAAAUAUUUGACCAGAUUUCAGAGGAAGAUGAUGACAACGAUGAAGCUGAGAUCGAAAAUGAAUCUUCACAAGAUAUUGGCGAUGAAGAUAAGAAUGAAGAAGCAGGAACAAUUUCUGCAGAAGAGAAUAAUGAUGAGUCUGGUGAGGAAAGUGAUAUUGAAGCAUUGUUAUCGAUUGGAAUUGAAGUUGAUAAUGAUAAGGAUUUUGCUUCACAGUCCUCACCUAAAACAUUUGAACGCAUGCCAGCUAAAUUAGACAAGAGAGACCGCUUUUCAUUUACCUUCUAUACUGAACAAUCCAGUAAAAAGCCAGCUGCAGAAAAGGCUCAGCAGAUUCCGAGGAAACGGGUUGGCUUCCGUACCACUGAGCAGGAUGGUGAUCUCAAGUUUGAUCGUUUAAAGUUGUCUGGGGGCAAUAGGAAACUACCGCAGGUACUACAACUUGGUAUUAAGCAACUUAAUAACAAGGUUCAGCCAAAACUAUAUGGAGUUACCCACUUCAGCCGUAUUCAGAUGCCCAUCUCUUCAGAUCCUCUUAGUGGUCUAUACGAGACUGCAUCUGGGUUUGACUCAGAAGUUCUUAGUUUACAACGGAAAUUCGGUCAAUGGCAGGAGGAGGAUUCAUCUGAGGAGCACUUGGAUCUUAAGUUUUAUGAGUAUGUCGAAGCUGCAAAAUUGACUGGGGACAAUCUUGUGCCAGCGGGUCAGGUUGUCUUCCGUGCGAAAGUUGGCAAACACUAUCAGCUUCCUCAUAAGGGGGUCAUCCCUAGAGAACUUGGAGUGGUUGCUAGGUAUAAGGGGCAAAGGAGAAUUGCAGAUGCUGGCUUCAAAAAUCCUCGAUGGGUUGACGGCGAGCUUUUGAUACUAGAUGGAAAGUUCAUCAGAGAUGGUCCUGUGAUAGCUUUCUUCUACUGGACAUCAAAUCUCCAUCUUUUUGAAUUCUUUAGGCGGUUGAGUCUUCCUGACUAG